GACGAACGCUGGCGGCGUGCCUAAUACAUGCAAGUAGAACGCUGAAGAGAGGAGCUUGCUCUUCUUGGAUGAGUUGCGAACGGGUGAGUAACGCGUAGGUAACCUGCCUGGUAGCGGGGGAUAACUAUUGGAAACGAUAGCUGAUACCGCAUAAAAUUGAUUAUUGCAUGAUAAUUAAUUGAAAGAUGCAACUGCAUCACUACCAGAUGGACCUGCGUUGUAUUAGCUAGUUGGUGAGGUAACGGCUCACCAAGGCGACGAUACAUAGCCGACCUGAGAGGGUGAUCGGCCACACUGGGACUGAGACACGGCCCAGACUCCUACGGGAGGCAGCAGUAGGGAAUCUUCGGCAAUGGGGGGAACCCUGACCGAGCAACGCCGCGUGAGUGAAGAAGGUUUUCGGAUCGUAAAGCUCUGUUGUAAGAGAAGAACGGGUGUGAGAGUGGAAAGUUCACACUGUGACGGUAGCUUACCAGAAAGGGACGGCUAACUACGUG
rnacentral:rRNA from 1 species